GCUUGUGGCAUGUGGCCUUACCGGUAUGGAGUUACCUCAAUGAAAAAACGCUUGUUAUCAAGAGAUUAUACAAGUACAGCUGAUGUGGAAUCAAGAAUUUAUGUUGAUACAAAUGCCAUGGAAUAAAAAUCAGCUUUGAAGACUUGGCUGUAGGCUGUAUAGGAAAACUUGAGAGGAAGGUGAAAUUCUUGAGAAAAACUAGCCCAUAUGAAUUCACAACAAAAACUUAUAUCCUACCCCAAGAAACAAUACAGGUUGGUCAUGAAGCAUGCUAAAAAUAAGUGCUUCAAUGCAGAGUCAACUAUACAACAACUAAUGACUCUGGUUAAUCAUAUAGCUAUUCCAUUCUUUGAAACUGACUGAAGGAAAGAAAAAGAUGUUUCUCCGUUUAGGAAUUAUUUAAG